AAGUCGUAACAAGGUUUCCGUAGGUGAACCUGCGGAAGGAUCAUUAUCACAAAUGAUUUUUAACUCUCUUAAUCCAGAGUUAAACCUCUUCUUAAACCAAUCUAAUUAAAAUGUGAAACCGUUUUAUUUUAAGACUUGGCAACAAGUCUUAAAAUUAUUAACCAAUUGAACCCUUUUCUAAUUAAUGUUAUUUUAUUUAUUUAGUUCUGAAAUCUAUUAUAUAUCAAUAUGUAAUAAUAUUGACAUGUAAUAAGUUACAUUACGAAACAAUUUAAAUAAAACAACUCUUAGCAACGGAUAUCUUGGUUCUCGUAAAGAUGAAGAACGCAGC
rnacentral:misc_RNA from 1 species